AGAACGAACGCUGGCGGCAGGCCUAACACAUGCAAGUCGAGCGCCCAGCAAUGGGAGCGGCGGACGGGUGCGUAACGCGUGGGAAUAUGCCUUUCGGUACGGAACAACUCAGGGAAACUUGAGCCAAUACCGUAUACGCCCUUAGGGGGAAAGAUUUAUCGCCGAAAGAUUAGCCCGCGUAGGAUUAGCUUGUUGGUGAGGUAAUGGCUCACCAAGGCGACGAUCCUUAGCUGGUUUGAGAGAACGACCAGCCACACUGGGACUGAGACACGGCCCAGACUCCUACGGGAGGCAGCAGUGGGGAAUCUUGGACAAUGGGGAAACCCUGAUCCAGCCAUGCCGCGUGAGUGAUGAAGGCCUUCGGGUUGUAAAACUCUUUCGACGGGGACGAUAAUGACGGUACCGUAGAAGAGCUCGGCUAACUUCGCGCCAGCAGCCGC
rnacentral:rRNA from 1 species